GGGAAUGGACUAAAACCCUCUCUGCACAAAAAAAUAUUUCUAGUUUAAUUCCUCCCUCUUCCAUUGUUGUUGCAAUGGAAGCCACGAUGAUGAGACACAACAACUUUUGUGAGUGUGAAAUCGGCUUGAAGUGAUGCCUUUGCAAGCUACUUUCUGCCAUUGAUGAUCAUUCAUAAUGUGUUUGAGUUGGUGUGAGUGAAAGGGUGUAUGUAAUCUGAGUGGA